AGAGUUUGAUCCUGGCUCAGGAUGAACGCUAGCUACAGGCUUAACACAUGCAAGUCGAGGGGCAGCAUGCAGGUAGCUUGCUAUCUGUGAUGGCGACCGGCGCACGGGUGAGUAACGCGUAUCCAACCUUCCCCGUAGUAGGGCACAGCCCGGCGAAAGUCGGAUUAAUUCCCUAUGUUCUCCAAUGCAGGCAUCUAAGUUGGAGCAAAGAUUCAUCGCUAUGGGAUGGGGAUGCGUCUGAUUAGGUUGCAGGCGGGGUAACGGCCCACCUGGCCAACGAUCAGUAGGGGUUCUGAGAGGAAGGUCCCCCACAUUGGAACUGAGACACGGUCCAAACUCUACGGGAGGCAGCAGUGAGGAAUAUUGGUCAAUGGAGGCAACUCUGAACCAGCCAAGUAGCGUGCAGGACGACGGCCCUAUGGGUUGUAAACUGCUUUUAUAAGGGGAUAAAGGAUGCCACGUGUGGUGUUUUGCAUGUACCUUAUGAAUAAGGACCGGCUAAUUCCGUGCCAGCAGCCGCGGUAAUACGGAAGGUCCGGGCGUUAUCCGGAUUUAUUGGGUUUAAAGGGAGCGCAGGCGGGCGAUUAAGCGUGACGUGAAAUGCAGCGGCUCAACCGUAUGAAGUGCGUCGCGAACUGGUUGCCUUGAGUGAGUUCGACGUGCGCGGAAUUCGUGGUGUAGCGGUGAAAUGCUUAGAUAUCACGAAGAACUCCGAUUGCGAAGGCAGCGCACGAGGCCUUUACUGACGCUAAAGCUCGAAGGUGCGGGUAUCGAACAGGAUUAGAUACCCUGGUAGUCCGCACGGUAAACGAUGGAUGCCCGCUGUUUGCGAUACACUGUGAGCGGCCAAGCGAAAGCGUUAAGNAUCCCACCUGGGGAGUAAACCGGCAACGGUNAAACUCAAAGGAAUUGACGGGGGCCGCACDNNNGGAGGAACAUGUGGUUUAAUUCGAUGAUACGCGAGGAACCUUACCCGGGCUUGAACUGCCGGCGAACGAUACAGAGAUGUUGANGNCCUCGGGGCGCCGGUGGAGGUGCUGCAUGGUUGUCGUCAGCUCGU
rnacentral:rRNA from 1 species